UACGUAGGUGGCGAACGUUGUCCGGAUUCACUGGGCGUAAAGCGCGCGCAGGCGGACUGAUAAGUCAGAGGUGAAAUCUCCCGGCUCAACUGGGAGGGGCCCUUUGAUACUGUCAGUCUUGAGGCACCUAGAGGAGAGUGGAAUUCCCGGUGUAGUGGUGGAAUGCGUAGAUAUCGGGAGGAACACCAGUGGCGAAAGCAGCUGCCUGGGCCUUUACUGACGCUAAGACUCGAAAGCUAGGGGAGCAAACAGGAUUAGAAACCCGUGUAGU
rnacentral:rRNA from 1 species